UACGUAGGGGGCUAGCGUUGUCCGGAAUCAUUGGGCGUAAAGCGCGCGUAGGCGGCCAGAUAAGUCCGGUGUGAAAGUCAAAGGCUCAACCUUUGAAUGCCGCUGGAAACUGUCUGGCUAGAGUCCGGAAGGGGCAAGUGGAACUCCUGGUGUAGCGGUGAAAUGCGCAGAUAUCAGGAAGAACACCAAUGGCGAAGGCAGCUCGCUAGGACGGUACUGACGCUGAGGCGCGAAAGCGUGGGGAGCGAACAGG
rnacentral:rRNA from 1 species